GAGCCUACGGGACGCAGCAGUGAGGAAUAUUGGUCAAUGGGCGCGAGCCUGAACUAGCCAAGCCGCGUGAGGGAAGACGGCCCUAUGGGUUGUAAACCUCUUUUGUCGGAGAACAAAACCCGGGACGAGUCCCGGACUGCGUGUAUCCGAAGAAAAAGCAUCGGCUAACUCCGUGCCAGCAGCCGCGGUAAUACGGAGGAUGCGAGCGUUAUCCGGAUUUAUUGGGUUUAAAGGGUGCGUAGGCGGUCUGUUAAGUCAGCGGUAAAAUUGCGGGGCUCAACCCCGUCGAGCCGUUGAAACUGGCA
rnacentral:rRNA from 1 species